CCCCAUCAGGGUAGCUGCGGUUUGAAGGACCUCUGGGUGGUCUGGAUAUUGUAUUAGAUGAAAACAGGUGAAUGAUCUUGAAAAUGAUGGACUGCGGAACCCCAGCCCCUAGACCCCAAGAAGAAGAGACAGCUAUGUGAAAGAGGCAUAUCUAGAGGAGGAGAAGUCAAGAGCUGUGGCAGGACAGGACAGAGUAUCAGGGUGGAGAGGUGUUCAGUGCUACCCACGCCACCAAGAAGCCCAGCACCUUGCAGGAAUGACGGUGGCAGGGCCAAAGAGCGGACUGAGGAAGACGGGAGGCCGUCUGUAAAGGCUCAGGCUGCAUCUCGACUCCUCUGUGCACGCCGACCACAGGCCCCUGGGUCUCCUGUGAGAUGUGGUUGGGCUGCCCCUGCAGGGGACAAUCCCUCAUAGGGACAAGGGUUUGAAGUCUGAGUUCCCACACCAAUGGACCCAAAGAAUAAAGAGCAAAAUAUCACAGCAGCAAAGACUUAAACAACAACAAAAAAAAGCUGUCUGGUUCCUCUGCAUGAAGGCUAAAUCCCCUUCAUGAACGGUAAAGACUCAAGUCAGGCUAAAGACAUGGGUUUUUUCCCUGAUCUGGACUUGUAAUGAAGUAAUUCCAUGUUUUAGUU